rnacentral:rRNA from 1 species
UACGGGGGGGAGCAAGCGUUGUUCGGAUUUACUGGGCGUAAAGAGCGCGCAGGCGGUCGUUCAAGUCGCGUGUGAAAGCCCCCGGCUCAACUGGGGAGGGUCACGCGAUACUGAUCGACUCGAAGGCAGGAGAGGGUAGUGGAAUUCCCGGUGUAGUGGUGAAAUGCGUAGAUAUCGGGAGGAACACCAGUGGCGAAGGCGGAUCUCUGGACAGUUACUGACACUGAGGCACGAAGGCCAGGGGAGCAAACGGG